rnacentral:tRNA from 1 species
GCCUGGGUGGCUUAGUGGUUUAGCGCCUGUCUUCGGCCCAGGGCAUGAUCCUGGAGUCCUGGGAUCGAGUCCCACAUCAGGCC